UACGUAGGGUGCAAGCGUUGUCCGGAAUUAUUGGGCGUAAAGAGCUCGUAGGCGGUUUGUCGCGUCUGCUGUGAAAUCUGGGGGGCUCAACCCCCCAGCCUGCAGUGGGUACGGGCAGACUAGAGUGCGGUAGGGGAGAUUGGAAUUCCUGGUGUAGCGGUGAAAUGCGCAGAUAUCAGGAGGAACACCGGUGGCGAAGGCGGGUCUCUGGGCCUGUACUGACGCUGGAGGAGCGAAAGCGUGGGGGAGCAAACAGG
rnacentral:rRNA from 1 species